AUGCAAGUCGAACGCAUUACUUCGGUAGUGAGUGGCGAACGGUGAGUAACACGUAGGUAACUACCUCUAAGACGAGGAUAACGACUGGAAACGGUCGCUAAAACUGGAUAGGAUCAUUUGAGGCAUCUCGAAUGAUUUAAAGGGGCUUCAAGCCACACUUAGAGAAACGGCCCGCGGCGCAUUAGCUAGUUGGUGUGGUAACGGCUCACCAAGGCGACGAUGCGUAGCCGACCUGAGAGGGUGAUCGGCCACAUUGGGACUGAGACACGGCCCAGACUCCUACGGGAGGCAGCAGGUGGGGAAUAUUGCACAAUGGGGGAAACCCUGAUGCAAGCAACGCCGCGUGAGUGAUGACCGGCCUUCGGGUUGUAAAGCUCUGUCUUCAGGGACGAUAAUGACGGUACCUGAGGAGGAAGCCACGGCUAACUACGUGCCAGCAGCGGC
rnacentral:rRNA from 1 species